AGCGCUCGGCGUCGCGAGAAAACAAGCUGUCUUUGGAUUUGGAUGUGAUGAGACCUCUUUGGAUUUGCAAAAUAAAAAGCUGGAAAAUUGCUAUUUGUUUUGGGCUGCGUUCAGUGAGCUGUGAACUGCCCCAGGAUUAAUUAAACCUGCCUGUUCAUCAUCUAUCGGUGUAUCAGCUGUUAGUGAUAAGAGGCCCUUGAGAAGUUGAGGAGAACGAUGGGUGAGCAAAGCAGAUGGGCAAGUGCAAGGGAAGCCUCAAAACCCAAGACUAAGGCCUGCCAGGUUGAAAGGCAGCAUCAACACGAUUGACAGCUGAAACCCGACCCUCUGCACCACACCCAGAAGCCCCUGGACAACUUCCGGCUGCCCCAGGGUGAGGAGGGAGCUUGUGGCCCUACUCAGUGCUGGACAGGCAGGGGGAAAGCUGGACCAUCUUUGCAGUUCAGAUCAUCACCUGGAAGGGUCUGUGGCAUCGUGCCCUGGCCUCGCAUCACAAAGGUCUUUGCGCGAUGUUCUGGCUUCCAGGCUGUGUGGCUAAGUGUCGGGAAAUGAAGGCACAUGGAGGCCGAAGGAGGGUCUCACGGCUGCUCUGAGUUCCAGCAGCUG
rnacentral:lncRNA from 1 species